UUUCUUGUUGAACACACAUUUCUAUUAUCCAAUUGUGGCCAAUGUUUCCAACCACACAACUUAUACCAAGUUUCUCAUGUCAUGCUACUUGUACCAAUCUAAUUGCAAUGUAUCACUAAAAAUUAGAAACAAGAAAAAGGAAACAUAGAGAGAAAGAGAAGAAACUUGUGGAAAAAAAGAAGAAAAAGGAACUUGAAGAACUUAGAGCUUGGGUUUUCUUCGUCAUUUCAUCUCAUCAUUUCUCAACAACUUCUUCAUCUCUUUAGCAAGGUGGAUUUUAGGUAGAAACUAUAUGAUUAUAGAAAUUAGGGUUUGUAGAAACAUAGGAUAUAAAUUGAUGAGUCUUGACAUGUUGUUAUAUUUUCUUUCAUUAUUCAUGUGAAAUUGUUAUGAUUGUUGUUAUUGAAUAUGAUUGAGCAUUGUUGUUGUUAGAGUGGUGGAUUUUAGUGUAUUAUACCAUGAAAAUCUUGUAUCUUAUGGAUGGUUGUUGUUAGAUGAACUUAGGGAUGGUUAGGAAUGGAUAAAAACAUAUUUUAGCCUAUGUUUUAAAAAUCAAAUCGAAUCGGCCGGUUUAAUCGGA
rnacentral:lncRNA from 1 species